CUCCCAUUUAUAAUCGGGUGGCAUAAAUGCUGUAAGACUUCUAAACGAAAUGGUAUAAAUAGACAGAAUUUCGGUUAUUGAAAGCCAGUUAAAAAUGAUGUGGACUCCAUAUAUUUUUCUUAUCGUAUUUAUAUGCGCUGUUGCAUUGUAUCGGCCAGUUCAAGGACAAGAUUGGGACAAUGGAGAACAAGCUGUAACGGACUGGUGGUGGGCGUGGAAACCUCAACCUGGAGAUUGAAAAGGCAAGGACAAAUUGAAUUUGACAAUUAAGAUGACGAACAAUAACAAGGUUGUUGUGAAAAUAUAAAUGCAAAUAAAAAAAGUUUUCAAACUGUUGUGCAAAAAAAAAUUAAGU